AGCGCAGGUAUCGAGAUAUCUUUUUAUCAUUUCUUUUUCUUUAAUGAUUACAAUCUCUAUAAGCAGAUUCAUUUCAUGUUCACGUUUUGCAUCUUUUUUUUUUUUUUGUAAAAAAACAGCCCACCCAGUGUUUUCUUUCUUUCUUUCUUUCUUUUUAAAAAAAAAAAACUGUCAUCAAAUGAAUAUUGUUAAAGCUAAAAUUUACAGGCGACACGAUAUUGCUGGAAGAUCGUCCGACACUCGAGUAUGGUGAUUACAGAUCGUCUGCGCUCUAACCCUGUAUCGAUGAUUAGUAAUGAAAAGACGUCGACUGUCUUUUAAACGCUGCUGAAAAUACAGUAACGAGUAUUUCACUGGACGUUAAAGUCCAUUUUUGUGCCAGUUGUUUCAUUUCAUAUACAGGACUGUGCGAAGAAAGAAACGCUGUAGAGCAAAGAUGCCUUCAAACAUAAUGAAAUUAAAUGUUUCUGCGUUUAAAAAAUAUAUAUAUUAUAAAGAGCAGUACACACUAAUCAGCGAAAAUAAAGUCAAUAUUUAGUGUAUAGCGUAUAAGUGUAUAGUGUAUAAGUAUAUAGUCCAUAAGUGAAUAUUUAGUGUAUAGUGUAUUAGUGUAUAGUGUGUAAGUGUAUAGUGUAUAUGUGAAUAGUGUAUAAGUGAACAUUUAGUGUAUAGUGUUUACAUGUAUAGUGUAUUAGUGUAUAUGCAUAAGUGAAUAUUAGUUGUAUAGUGUAUAUGUGAAUAGUGUAUAAGUGAAUAUUUAGUGUAUAGUGUAUAAGUGUAUAGUGUAUUAGUGUAUAGUGCAUAAGUGAACAUUAGUUGUAUAGUGUAUAAGUGUAUAGUGUAUAUGUGAAUAGUGUAUAAGUGAAUAUUUAGUGUAUAGUGUAUAAGUAAAUAGUGUAUAAGUGAAUAUAUUAUAUUGAAAAAUCGUGAAAUCCUCCUGCUAGCCUGUUUAAAUGAUUUAUACACCAUUCUAAAAUAAAAUAAUAAUUUUACGCACCAGUUCUCGGCUUAUGAUUGUUACAUGAAUUCGUUCAUUUCGAUCACUGAACUUUGAACACAGCUAUUUAUUUACCUUUUACACCAUCUCAGGUGUGAUAAUGAUAAUGAGAACACAUCAGUCAAAGUGUGCUGGUGCUGAGGGUGCACAAACUUCUGCACUCGUCGCCACACAAACUUUGCGUUAAACUCGUAAAUUAGCGUACCUUUUGCUCGGGUCUUUGUUGAGUGAGGUCCUGGUUUGGUAGCUGUACCGUCCCGGUCCCCAGGUCCCCAGAACCCCGCACACCAAACACACCAGCAGCAGGAGCACGCAGCGGGAAAAGAACCGGUGAAGCGCGGACACCGAGCCUGCGGGACACGCGCCCAUCACAGCAACGUCAAACACACACACACACACACACACACACACACACACUCUCCCGAUACUGUUUCCGCACGGAUCCCGUUAAUCUUGAGUGCAGGCUGGUCAGGAAGAAAGAAGUUUCUUCUAAAACUGAUACAAAAAAUAAAUCUAUAUAUAAAUAUAAAUAUAUAUCAGGAGUCUGGAGCUGCGCAAAAAAAGACCUAAAAUGUGCAAAAUAUUAAAAAUGAAUCAGCGAGUUUUGUCCCGAAAUCCAGCAGAAAGGAAACGAAAUCGUGUGGAAGUUCCUCCAGUUCCUUCACUCCUCCUCACAUCUCCAGCACUUUUGACAAGAGCAACCCAACAGAGCAGCUUUAUAGCGUCCUCGCGCUCUGUGUGUGUGUGUGUGUGUGUGUGUGUGUGUGUGGGCGUGUUUUUAUAUCUUGGUGGGGAGAAAUUUUCACUGAAAUAUCUGACAAGUUUCGAGUUUGUGAGGACAUUUGGCUGGUCCCAGACAAGGAAGACAUUUUGAACAAAACAACAGAAAUAACAAUUAAAAAGUAAUACAAAUAAAUAAACAAGCGAAAUAUUUCCUUUAGGUCAUUAGGGUUGAGGUUAGGGUUAGAUUGAUGUGUAGAAUGGCAUUAAUUAGUUUAAUUUAAUAGUUAUGUCAGUGGUAGGUCCUCAUAAGCGUAGUAAGACAGAUGUGUGUGUGUGUGUGUGUGUGUGUGUGCGCGCGUGCAAUUCAUCAGCCAACCCCAUUCCUUCACCCAGCUUCCUGUCUACUCACAUACACACACACACACACACACACACACACACACACACACUUUGGCUGAGUCCCCAGACCGCACAACUCCCCCACUAACACAAUGUCAAAUCACAACACCGCAAACCUGCUGCCA
ensembl:lncRNA